GACGAACGCUGGCGGCGUGCUUAACACAUGCAAGUCGAACGGAAAGGCCCUGCUUUUGUGGUGUGCUCGAGUGGCGAACGGGUGAGUAACACGUGAGUAACCUGCCCUUGACUUUGGGAUAACUUCAGGAAACUGGGGCUAAUACCGGAUAGGAGCUCCUGCUGCAUGGUGGGGGUUGGAAAGUUUCGGCGGUUGGGGAUGGACUCGCGGCUUAUCAGCUUGUUGGUUGGGUAGUGGCUUACCAAGGCUUUGACGGGUAGCCGGCCUGGGAGGGUGACCGGCCACAAUGGGCCUGAGAUACGGCCCAGACUCCUACGGGAGGCAGCAGUGGGGAAUAUUGCACAAUGGGCGGAAGCCUGAUGCAGCAACGCCGCGUGCGGGAUGACGGCCUUCGGGUUGUAAACCGCUUUCGCCUGUGACGACGCGUGAGUGACGGUAAUGGGUACAGAAGCACCGGCUAACUACGUG
rnacentral:rRNA from 1 species